rnacentral:lncRNA from 1 species
AUAGGUAGCAAGCUGGUAGAAGAUGGAGGGAGGUCUGUUUUUAGCCACCUUGUGUGUUUCCGUCAGUAGAUUAGGGGGGUUCCGUGUGGUAGGGGGGACCGGUCCAAAUUGGCAAAAUAGUUAUAGUUAUAGUGGCCCAAGAAAGUUGUCUGAUAGACCUAUUCAGACAGCAGCCGAUAAGAUAGCUAACGAAUUAGCGGGCCGCAGAUGGGCAUUCAGGUUACGUUGCGACGGAGGGGCGAGUUGGAUAACUCCCUUGGGCAGAUAACGUUGGUGGUCCAGUCGUGAAGGCCCGAUGGGGCUCUGCAUCGGCAGUAAAAACGGGUCCGGAUAGGUGGUUGUAGCCCAGGAGUGGCUGAAGGAACUCUUCAGCUGGCUAGCUCCAGAAUAAUUUAUGUUAGCUCCAGGACCGACGUUUGCCAAUAGUCACUCAGGUAGCAGCUAGCUCGCUGCAAGAUCCAGGAGUAAAUGUCCAGAGCCUGCGGUAGAAUUCCGGGGAUAUGGAGAGAGAAUAGGUCCGGUAUGCUCUGGUCUGAGUCGCGCUGCACAGAAACUGGCGAUAGCUUUUCGAGCUAAUGGAUAGCUGAGGACCGCUAACCGUGGCUAGCUGAACUCCAACGUUAGCCAGUGAAAUGGCUAACCUCUGGCUAGCUUCUGUUGUGGAUUUCAGAUUUGAGGUAAAUAAUACAUUUUAUUUAUUUUUUUUAAUUGGUGAGGCGGGUUGCAGGAGAGUGUUUUUAGGUUGAGUUUUUAGAAGAAAAAAAUAUAUAUAAAAAGAUAUGCGAAGAAAGUAUAUAUAUAUAUAUAUAUACACACAGACACACGGGACACGACAGGAGGAGAACAAAGAACGUAUGAACUGCUACGCCAUCUUGGAACGGAAUGACGCCAUACCAGGAUUCAUCCGUGAAAAGCACACUUCCCCAGCGUGCCAAUGGCCGUCAAAGGUGAGCAUUUGCCGACUGAAGUCGGUUAUGACUAAACUGCAGUCUGGUCACGGCCCUGGUGAGGACGACGAGCACACAGAUGAGCUUCCCUAAGACGGUUUCUGACAGUUUGUGCAUUAAUUCUUCGGUUGUGCAAACCCACAGUUUCAUCAGCUGUCCGGGUGUCACGACUUCCACCGAAGUUGGUCCCUCUCCUUGUUCGGGCGGCGUUCGGUGGUCGACGUCACCGACCUUCUAGCCAUUGCUGGUCCACUUUUCAUUUUCCAUUGGUUUUGUCUUGUCUUCCAUCACAUCUGGUUCCAAUUCCAUCAAUUACAUGUUGUGUAUUUAACCCUCUGUCCCCCCCCCAUGUCCUUGUCCGUAAUUGUUUGUUGUAGUGCUUGUGCACGGUAUGCUGGUAUGUACCGGGUUUUGUUUGACCCAUUUAUUUGUAUUAUUCUGUUGAUGGUGGUUUAUGGUUAUUAAAUACAACCAUUGGAAAUCAGUUUCCGCUCUCCUGCGCCUGACUUCUCUGCCGCCAGUAGCAUCGCAUUACACCGGGUGGCUGGUCUCAGACGAUGGGCUGGCGUGGUUACACGUGGUCUGCGGUUGUGAGGCCGGUUGAAAGUGCUGCCAAAAAUUAUGUUAAAGGCGGCUUAUGGUAGAGAAAUGAACAUUCAAUUCUCUGGCAACAGCUCAGGGGAAACUUGAGACAUCUGUGGCAUUGUGUUGUGUGACAAAACUACACUUUUUAGAAUGGCCUUUUAUUGUCCCCAGAACAAGGUACAUCUGUGAAAUGAUCAUACUGUUUAAUCCGCUUGUUGGCAAAGGAGAAAUCUAUUUGAGCACCACAUUUCAGAGAAAUAAUAUUUUUGUGCAUCUGAAUAAUUUCUGGGUUCUUUUACUUCAGCUCAUAAAACAUAGGACCAACACUUUACAUGUUGCGUUUAUAUUUUUAUUCAGUAUAUUUUACAUGUUUGUUUCACGUCAAACUGUACUUUGAAAAAUUACAUUGAAACAAUAUUGAUUCAAACAGUGUCUGCCAGUGGGAUGGGCCGACCCUCAAAUUGUCUGCUUUGUCUUGGUUUUAACCCCUGAUUAACUCCUGAUUUUUUUUGUAG